GAUGAACGCUGGCGGCGUGCCUAAUACAUGCAAGUCGAGCGAACAGAUGAGGAGCUUGCUCCUCUGACGUUAGCGGCGGACGGGUGAGUAACACGUGGAUAACCUACCUAUAAGACUGGGAUAACUUCGGGAAACCGGAGCUAAUACCGGAUAAUAUAUUGAACCGCAUGGUUCAAUAGUGAAAGACGGUUUUGCUGUCACUUAUCGAUGGAUCCGCGCCGCAUUUGCUAGUUGGUAAGGUAACGGCUUACCAAGGCAACGAGUCGUACCCGACCGGACUGGGUGAUCGGCCACACUGGAACGUAGACACGCUCCAGACUCCUACGGGAGGCAGCAGUAUGGAAUCUGCCGCAAUAGGCGAAAGCAUUGCGGAGCAACGCGGCGUGAGUUGUGAAGGUCUUCGGAUCGUAAAACUCUGUUAUGAGGGAAAAACAAAUUUGGAAGUAACUAUACACGUCUUGACGGUACCUAAUCAGAAAGCCACGGCUAACUACGUG
rnacentral:rRNA from 1 species